GCGCGGAUGGUGGAAUGGUAGACACGAGAGACUUAAAAUCUCUUGGGCGGAUAGCCCGUGCGGGUUCAAGUCCCGCUCUGCGCACCA
rnacentral:tRNA from 1 species